rnacentral:miRNA from 1 species
GACCAGCUGUCGGGGUUUGCCUGGGACUGAGGGGGUUCCCAGGAUAUGGGACUUUCCAUGUUAAACUGGCAAGU